rnacentral:rRNA from 1 species
CCUACGGGAGGCUGCAGUGGGGAAUAUUGGACAAUGGGCGAAAGCCUGAUCCAGCCAUGCCGCGUGUGUGAAGAAGGCCUUCGGGUUGUAAAGCACUUUCAGUGGGGAAGAAAGCCUUGGGGCUAAUACCCUCGAGGAAGGACAUCACCCACAGAAGAAGCACCGGCUAACUCCGUGCCAGCAGCCGCGGUAAUACGGAGGGUGCGAGCGUUAAUCGGAAUUACUGGGCGUAAAGCGCGCGUAGGCGGUCUGAUAAGCCGGUUGUGAAAGCCCCGGGCUCAACCUGGGAACGGCAUCCGGAACUGUCAGGCUAGAGUGCAGGAGAGGAAGGUAGAAUUCCCGGUGUAGCGGUGAAAUGCGUAGAGAUCGGGAGGAAUAACAGUGGCGAAGGCGGCCUUCUGGACUGACACUGACGCUGAGGUGCGAAAGCGUGGGUAGCAAACAGGAUUAGAUACCCCUGUAGUC